CAGAGGGUAGUUUAAUUUAAAAUAUUAAUUUUGGAGAUUAAAGAUAUUAAUUUUCCUCUGA
rnacentral:tRNA from 1 species